AGCUUCUGGAGGCUGGGCAGCUAAGAGAGCUUCUGGAGGCUGGGCAGCUAAGAGAGCUUCUGGAGGCUGGGCAGCUAAGAGAGCUUCUGGAGGCUGGGCAGCUAAGAGAGCUUCUGGAGGCUGGGCAGCUAAGAGAGCUACAGGAGGCUGGGCAGCUAAGAGAGCUACAGGAGGCUGGGCAGCUAAGAGAGCUACAGGAGGCUGGGCAGCUAAGAGAGCUACAGGAGGCUGGGCAGCUGAGUGAGCUACAGGAGGCUGGGCAGCUGAGUGAGCUACAGGAGGCUGGGCAGCUGAGUGAGGUAAGGACAGCACAGCUGGCAGUUCUGAAGUCCCACCAUGCGGCUGUGGGGUAACGCGCCGGCGGUGCGACCGUCGAUUCUUCCCCACAGACCGGCCGGGCAAAACCUCCAGCGGGGGAGGCUGAUGCGGCUGCUCCGGGGUGGCUAUUGUCAGUUGUUGGUGGGCAAGGUCCGUUAUUUCCCGAGCUUGUGCCACUUCCCGGGCUUUAUGCAAACUGGCCAAUAAAUCCAAACAUCCUCUGACCUGGCGGAGAUAGGAAUUUCCUUCGAGGAUUGUUUCAAUAGCAUUUAUCCCCACAAUCUUUGCCCUUGUAUUAGAUGUGUGGGUUAUCCAUUCGACUAGGCGUUGGACUCGUAUCAGGUCGCUCUCCCCGGGUAAGUCUGCUGGGUCCAUGUUGUGGUCGCGUCGUUCUGUCAUGAAACGCUGUGUGGCAGGCAGGAGUAGGACCCAAGGUGCAGACACUCAGACUCGAAGGAUGAACUCAAAACUCAGCUUUAUUGCUGGCAG
ensembl:lncRNA